rnacentral:rRNA from 1 species
UUGGAGGGCAAGUCUGGUGCCAGCAGCCGCGGUAAUUCCAGCUCCAAUAGCGUAUAUUAAAGUUGUUGCAGUUAAAAAGCUCGUAGUUGAAUUUCGGGGUCAGUAGGUUGGUCAUGCCACAGGUAUGUACUGGUCUCACUGAUUCCUCCUUCCUGAUGAACUGUAAUGCCAUUAAUUUGGUGUUGCAGGGAAUCUGGACUGUUACUUUGAAAAAAUUAGAGUGUUUAAAGCAGGCUAACGCCUGAAUACAUUAGCAUGGAAUAAUGAAAUAGGACGUUCGAUCCUAUUUUGUUGGUUUCUAGGAUUGACGUAAUGAUUAAUAGGGAUAGUUGGGGGCAUUAGUAUUCAAUUGUCAGAGGUGAAAUUCUUGGAUUUAUUGAAGACUAACUACUGCGAAAGCAUUUGCCAAGGAUGUUUUCAUUAAUCAAGAACGAAAGUUAGGGGAUCGAAGACGAUCAGAUACCGUCGUAGUCUUAACCAUAAACUAUGCCGACUAGGGAUCGGACGAAGUUAAUUUUAUAAUGACGCGUUCGGCGCCUUACGGGAAAC